AUGGAGUCAGACACAUUGUUCUUAUGCGUGCUGCUGCUCUGGGUUCCUGGUUCCAAUGGGGACAUUGUGCUGACCCAGUCUCCAGCUUCUUUGGCUGUGUCUCUAGGGCAGACAACCACCAUCUCCUGCAGGGCCAGUGAAAGUGUCAGUAUAUCUAAGCAUAAUUUUAUGCACUGGUACCAACAGAAACCAGGACAGCCACCAAAACUCCUCAUCUAUGAUGCAUCCAACCUAGAAUCUGGGGUUCCUCCCAGAUUCAGUGGCAGUGGGUCUGGGACAGACUUCACUCUCACCAUCAAUCCUGUGGAGGCUGAUGAUGAUGCAAACUAUUACUGUCAGCAAAAAACUUAUUUUCCUUUUACGUUUGGAGCCGGGACCAAGCUGGAAAUCAAACGGGCUGAUGCCGCACCAACUGUAUCCAUUUUCCCACCAUCCAACGAGCAGUUAGCAACUGGAGGUGCCUCAGUCGUGUGCCUCCUGAACAACUUCUACCCCAGUGACAUCAAUGUCAAGUGGAAGAUUGAUGGCAGUGAACGACAAAAUGGUGUCCUGAACAGUCUGACGGAGCAGGACAGCAAAGACAGCACCUACAGCCUGAGCAGCACCCUCACGUUGACCAAGGAUGAGUACGAACGACAUAACCUCUAUACCUGUGAGGCCACUCAUAAGACAGGUCCCGUCAACAAGAGCUUCAACAGGAAUGAGUGUUAGAACCAAGGGUCCUGAGGCACCACCUGCUCCCCAGCUCCAUCCAGUCUUCCCUCCUAAGGUCUUGGAGACUUCCCCACAAGAGACCUGCCACUGUUGCAGGGCUCCAAACCUCCCCACCUCAUCCUCCUCCCUUUCCUUGGCUUUUAUCAUGCUAUUAUUUGGGGAAGAUAUUGAAUAAAGUGAAUCUUUGCACUUGA